rnacentral:rRNA from 1 species
UACGAAGGGAGCUAGCGUUGUUCGGAAUCACUGGGCGUAAAGCGCACGUAGGCGGAUGUGUCAGUCAGGGGUGAAAUCCCGGAGCUCAACCCCGGAACUGCCUUUGAUACUGGGUAUCUCGAGUCCGAGAGAGGUGAGUGGAAUUCCGAGUGUAGAGGUGAAAUUCGUAGAUAUUCGGAGGAACACCAGUGGCGAAGGCGGCCCACUGGCUCGACACUGACGCUGAGGUGCGAAAGCGUGGGGAGCAAACAGG